GAACCCACAUUGAACCAAACCCCAGCCGUGCCAGAGCCAGAGCAGCUGAUAUGGGGGAAGCUUGGUGCAGGGAGGAGGACGGAUGAGAUCUGGUGUCCGUUGAUUAAAGGGGACCUAGGAUACGGGGUUGCUUAUGGAACCACAGAGAACAGUCCCGUGACAUUCGCGCACUUCCCUGAGGACACUGUGGAGCAGAAGGCAGAAAGCGUGGGCAGAAUUAUGCCUCACACGGAGGCCCGGAUCAUGAACAUGGAGGCAGGGACGCUGGCAAAGCUGAACACGCCCGGGGAGCUGUGCAUCCGAGGGUACUGCGUCAUGCUGGGCUACUGGGGUGAGCCUCAGAAGACAGAGGAAGCAGUGGAUCAGGACAAGUGGUAUUGGACAGGAGAUGUCGCCACAAUGAAUGAGCAGGGCUUCUGCAAGAUCGUGGGCCGCUCUAAGGAUAUGAUCAUCCGGGGUGGUGAGAACAUCUACCCCGCAGAGCUGGAGGACUUCUUUCACACACACCCGAAGGUGCAGGAAGUGCAGGUGGUGGGAGUGAAGGACGAUCGGAUGGGGGAAGAGAUUUGUGCCUGCAUUCGGCUGAAGGACGGGGAGG
rnacentral:sRNA from 1 species